rnacentral:lncRNA from 1 species
GUGUGCUCUUCCGAUCUAAUUAAUCCGACUGAUGCAAUGAAGAAGUUACAGAUACCUUAAAAGGGAUAUAUUCGUCGUUGUUUCUUGUAGGAUAACAGGAGGAAAAACGACAUUGUCGAUAUAACAUUGAUGUAGCCAUGUAACACCUGACAAUGAGUAGAAGAAACCAUCAAAAGUGAAUUAAAAACACAUAACUUCUGACCUACUAACAGGGUACGGUUGCUGUUAAAAAUUCGAUCAAGAAGUAGUAGGCGGUUGGGUUAAGAGUUUUUUACGGAUCCCGUGCACACUCUGUUUCUUUGCUUAAUUGGAUUUUUACCUUUACUUUAGUGACAAGGUUGUUUAAGUGACCAAAUUUUACGAUCCAAUAGUAACUUGUCAGCCUCCGACUUUCAUCCAUUCCAUCCGUUCCACUUCCUCAUCUUCACCGAAAAGCAUACAGAAAAGGAGGUUUUUUGUUAGAACCGGUUUCUUUUUUAAGUCCUUGGACGUCAACGGAUGAUGGAGAAACAAUAAAGGCUAAAAGGUGAACAGUAAUUCAUGCCACGGUUAUGUUAGACCAAUCGUGAUUUGAAUCUGAGCGUGUGAAAAUAAAGUAGAAACUCAUCGAUGAUACUUCUAACAUUAUCACGAGUUCUACAACACUAGAGGCCCCGAAGCCCGUACCACAAGCACCACACCCACAGCAGCAGGUAGGCCUCAACAAUUAGAAAUUUGUUUUUCAUUGUCCACCCUUUAUGUUAUCUAGAUCCAUAAAAAAAAAAAGAAAAACAAGUUUUAAAUUUUAUAAUAAUAAAAAAUGUAAAUAGAAGUUUUAAAACUUUUGUAUAUAAAGGCAUUUAAUUUGCAAUGAACACGGAUACUGUAUAACUGAAAAGUGAUAAUUGAGAUUGAUGUUAGCUGAAAUAACAACAUUAGGGUCCUUCAACAACUUCAAACACAAUCAAACUGGUCAAACAAUCAUUUUACAGCUCUGCAGCUACGAAAGCAGAUCAAUACAAAGUCGAAUCGACAAAGAAAUCAUAUUUGGAGGAAAUGGCCAGAGCAGAUUUGACAGUUUUUCAACCGGCAUUCUUGUUACUGUCUUCACUAGGAAGUUGAUAAAAGAAGGCGGAUUCUGGUAAUGAGAAGAAGCUACGGACAGUCGAGUGAUUGAACGAUUGUCUCCGGGGAUGUCCAGUAAUCGGUGCCUCAUUAAACCCAGAGGAAAGCUCACUAAAGUGAAGACAGUAGGAUGAAGUUGUCCGAGAUUCCACUACUACCAUUUAACACUCUCUGCCUUCCUUUCAAAGUCACAUUCUAAUUCUGAUACCUUAAAGAUAAUCCCGUGUGGUAGAUGUACUGAUCCUCUUAACGUGACAGGGUUAUAUGUCAGUUAGACAUCAAGACAUGCUCACUAACCGUUUGAUAAUAGCUUUCGAUCGUUAAGGUGCGAUUGUGGCUGAGUACUGCAGAGAAGCUGCUUCUCAUUUGCCCUUUUCUCUCUCUCUCUCUCUUUUUUUUUUAUCUUAAAUUCGAUUUACUAAAACUACUAAUACUGCAAUUAAUUGGAC